UUUUUUUUAGAAUGUUCACUUUUUCCAAGCUCUUUAGAAAACUAAAAUAAAACUUAAUGUGGUUCCUUUAAUUUUGAAUUUGUCAGUCAUACAUUAUGGCAAAAGCAAUCAUUGUAGCUUGACAUCAAAUACAGAAAAUGAGAAUGUUUGAUAUUUUCCUCCAAAGAGGAGGUAUAUGCCACUGAUAGGAAGUGUUUCUUUGAGACAAGUGAUUGGGGUUAGGGCUCUUCUCAUUGAUAAUCAGAUAGUUUGUUUGAGAAAACACAUUUUGAGGGUGAUACCGUUUGCUCUGUAUCCCCACCCAAACCUCACCUUGUAGAUGGGGUCUUACCCUGUCAGCCAGGAUGGUCUCAAUCUCCUGAACUCAUGAUUUUCCCAACUCAGCCUCCCAAAGUGCUGGGAUUACAGGCCUGAGCCACCAUGCCUGCCCCAUAGUAAAUUUAAUUAGAAAGAAUGAGGCCAAAUAUAUAAGGUAGAAAUUAUUAUUCCUAUGCCAGUGUUCCUCCCGUUGAAGGCUCUACUUUCCCAUUGUAAAACAUAAAAGUAACUUAAUUUUUCAGGUUAGGCAGGCUGAAAAAUCUAAGGAUGAAAAUUGAGGAUGAGUAGGACAUAGAAGGUUAUUGGCGAUUUAAGCCAUACAUGCUAGAAGAUGAGGUCACAAUAAAGUGGAGCUAUACAAAUUUUAGGAUCUUUGAGGAAUGGAGUUUUCUGCUUUCAAUGGAUAGAAGUUGAAGUUUCAGACCUCAUAUGAAGAAAUUGGAAUCAAAUUAGGAGAACAAAAUCCUCCUCUAACCAAAGGUAGAGUAACUCUAAUGUGCUUUUCCAUAAAGAAUCAUAGAAUAAAGAUUUCUCACAUAAAGGUUUGAAAAGGUAACUGAUAAUUUCAAAAAAAAAAAAAAGAAAAGAAAAAUCAUUUAUUGACCCUUCAGAUUGAAAUAGGGAAUUGUGCUUUGAACUUCUCAGAAGAUCAAAGUUCAGGUCAUGGAAAAGAGACCUGAAACCAGCUUAAAAAUGGAUUAUGAGAUCGAGAUCGAUGGCAGUGGAUGUCUCAGUGGGCAGAUAAAUGAAAAGGUCUUAGGCACAAAAGCUUGGAAUUUAAGCUUCAAGAGAAUCAUUUUGAGAAGAUCAGCCUUGGUGAAGAUUGAAAGCAGACAACUUCGGGUCCAAAUCUCCAAAGAGUUUCCUCUGAAAGAUAUUUUAGAGUCCAUAUUUGGUGAUCAGAGAAAGAGAUUACAGGAGGUAAUAAAUGCCAAAAGAUCUUGGGAUUAGAUAGCUUAUCUCAAUGUAAAGCUUCAACCGUGACCUUGAAGUCACUGUAAAGAGAUGGUGUGACUUGGAUGGUCCUCAGAAUAUCUCAGGGCCACAUGUCCUCUGGCAUUAACAAAGCUCUUCUUUCCUUAUAAUUCCACCAAAUUCUCAGCUCAAGUUAUCUUCACCUUGGUUCAUGGUGCAAUAUUUAUUGUUCUAUGAAAGGCUUCGAACCUGAAACACUCAUUUUAUUUUCAGGUACAAGGAUAAUAUGAAGAACUAGCUAUAAAUGCUCAGAUGCCCAAAACUGAAAUAGGAUCCAUGACGGGAUAUUGUGAUUGGUUCACAGACAAUUAAACAUGGUAUCAUUAGCUCUUUUGGCAACUUACAGAGAUGACCAGAAUGAAAGACACAAUUUGUGAUAAACUGAAUCCUGAUGCACCAUCAGUGAUAUGGUGAUGAUUACAUUUACCUUCUGAUAUUUUCUUGUGUUCUCCUGAUAUUAGAACAAAAAAAAUGAAGCAGGGAUAUUUUCUCUAAUAAAAGGGGAAUUACUUUCAAAUAGUAAUUUGUUUAUCCCUACCCAUGUGACAAGUCCACACACAUUAUUAUCUACCAGGAGGAAUAACUGGACCUUAAUUCAGCAGGAAUGGUCAGCUACAGAAAAGUCAGGUUUUUGACCAUCAGAGUACACAAGUAUCUUUAAGUGAAUCCAGUCUGAAAUUAUUAUGAGGUAUCUUUAUGUAUAUGUAAUGUUCUUUUACAUUACACAUGGUUUUAUUGUUGUGCUAUAAAAAUAUCUUUCCAGAAUGCAGAAUUCAGACACUCAAAAUCUUACUUCAAGAACUAAGUUAAGGUUCAGACACAGCUUCAAUUUCUUAUGCUAACAAUCAAAACUCGCUGUGGUCAAAACCUUUCCAGUGUAUACACUGGUGUCAAUCAACAAUUCGUCAAUGAUUACAUUUACAAAACUUACAUAUGUUUUAGUAGACUUUUAAUUACUAGCGCACUUAAAAAGUGUGUUCUGAAAUCAACUAAGUGUGGCAAUUACUAAGUGACCUUUUGUUAAUGUCUAAAAUUUGUCAUCAAUCACCCAGUCACAGAGGUUCAAGCACAAUACCCACCAACAUCGAUGCCAAAACUUGUGGACCAUUUCUCAUCGUCGGGGGAUGUUGCCACACACCACUAUAAACAUUUCCUUGCAAUUCCUUACCCAGCUAUUCCUUAUCAUUUCUGCAGGAAAUAGCAAUCCAGCCUUCCUGGACGGUCAAAUUCACCAUCCUAUCAGUUUUUGCUAUUUCUUUCUAUAAUCCAAGAAAAUACAAAACAAAUCGAUACUUUAUCUUAAUCGUGAAUACAAUUGUCCAUGAGGCGUGGGUAAGUGGAACCUUGAGAUUAAAAGAAAGAAUUGACUAAUUUAACAUGAUUUUACCCUUUGUUCAAUUGGGCUUACUGAGUAAACUGUACUUCAGCUGAGUCAAAAUUCAGUGACUCUGGAAUCUUGAAGACAAACUUUGGUGAUAAGCCAUUUGUACCUGCCCAGAACCUUGGAAUGCUUUAGGUAACUAUUUUUGUGUUUGCAUCUUGUGACAUUUUAGAGGGUAUUAGUUGGCCGAGGCAUUUAGAGCAAUGUUCUGAAACUUAAUAUUAAAAAACAAAACAAAAAAAAAACCCGGGUGAUCUUGUUAAACUGCCAACUCAGAUUUAGCAGGUCUGGGUGGAGCCUGAGAUUCUGUAUUUCUAGUAACAGGUAAUUUUCAUGCUGCUGGGGUAAAAACUAACUGUGACUGCCAGAGAUCUAGUAGAUACUCCAAGUUUGCUGCAAUACUACAUUUCUAACACAAGAAACCUGGGACUGUCUCUGAUUUUACGGACAAGUUAAAGGUCGUCAUCAUCCAGAACUCCUGUGGGGUGACUGUUGUGUUGCUUUGGUGCAGGAAACAUAAGGAAUUGGCAAGUUUCUUGUUGUCAUUCAGUCUUGUUCACUGAAUCCAGUGGUUACUGAUAGAUCACGACUUCAGUUUAUUCGUUUUCAAGAUUUGUAGAGCUCAAUUAGUAUUCUUCUUAGGAAAAAGAAAUUAACCUUGGCUAUUUGUGAGAAGGCAUCACAGUGAAGUAGUGUGUGUGUGUGUGUGUGUGUGUGUGUGUGUAAGAGAAAGAGAGAGAGAGAUGCAAUUACAUUUUCUUACAUUAAUCAAUAUAGUGUUACAUCAUUUUAUCCUCCCAUCUUUCUUGAAAUAGAUACAUUUACCCACUUUUCUGAAAUCAUCACGGAAAUAUGAUGUUUUUUCUUAUGAAAAAUUCUCUUAUGCUACGAAUCAUAUUUUGCCAGAGAAAGAGGAACAGUAGGGGUUAUAGUGGGUAAGAAAGGAGACUGAGAGAAAACAGAAAAUACGAGGAUGAUUACACCAACAUUUGCGUCUUUUUCAUGACUAGUAGCAAUAUGAAGAAUCCAUUCUGUGAAAGAAGAAAAUGCAUGUGUGAAGAACUCAAUAAAACGACUGAAAACACUUCUUUGCUGGCCCCAGAUGGAAUCGUUAAUAAAGCCUGUAGGAGAAAGGAUUUUUUUUAACACUACAAUCCCAAGGAAGCAAUUUCCUAGACAGUUUUUAUGAUUUGUCAUUACAAAACUUGAAUAAAUCCAACAGGAGGCCCUGCGAUAUGCAAACAUAAGCAACGAUGUUUAAGCAGCUCCAAUGAGGAUCUUAGUAUUUACAGUAAUUUCCUUAUGAUUUUAUGCAUUCCUCUCUAUUGUAUCUCCCAUUCCACCUGCAGAAGAUAAUUCUACGUAUAUCAUCCCUACCAUUUGAAGUUUACCCGUCAUUUAAUUCUCUUCAAAGAGUAGUAUGAGAAUCACAGAGAAAUAUGCAGAGUCCUAUAAGACAAAAACAUAAUAAAAAAAGCCCCCAAAUCUAACAGUAUGCAGUGUGGCUAGGCAGACAAGACACAUGUAAAUGGACAUUAUUCACUAGCUUGCUUGGCCUCCGCUAGUGAAUAGACACUGUGGAAAAAGCUAAGAAUAAGUCUUUUAAAUCAUCUCAGGAGCAUAGUACCGAGGCUUGAAAUCCUAAGGUAGGAAGGUUGUCCUAAGAAGUAGAGGCUAUUAAAAAUAGAAGAUUCUAGCACUCUGCUUAGAGGAAAUUGCGAACGUGUAACGAAUCUGGAUUUGCAUGCAGAUCUAUCCAAAUUCACCUCUGCCCCAUACUUGUUAGAUGUGUGAUUAUAUGUGCAAUUAACUUAGCUGCAGACUUUUAUCUGUGAGGAGAGUUAAUCCUAGCAAUUUUGUAAUGUAGUAAGAAUUACAUGACAUGAUAUAUGUAGAAGACUAGCCAUAGUUCUGUUCAUACUUAAAGUGCUCAAUGAAGAUAAUGAUGGUAACGAUGGUGGUGAUGAUGAUGAUGAUAAUAACAUAGUUCGGUUGAUUAUGAAACAAGAGGGGUCAGGAACUUGAGUGUAGGUAUGAUUUGGAAAGUGUUUCCAGGAAGCAGAAGUGAGGGAGUGGGGAAAGAGAUGAAGGGAAGACAAUUUCCGAAAAUGUCGCAUUAAUGAAUUUAUUACCGCUCUGAGAAACUGGGAUUCACUCUUUCUUAGGGAUCGUCUACAAUUAUGUACAUUCUACCUUACCAGAAGAUGGAGAGUUUGAGACAUUCAUCAACUGAUUUAUACUAUUCAUAGUCUGAAAUUAGCCCCCAGGAGCAGGUUCUUCCACUCCCACAGUUCAGGACCCACCUAUGCACAGAUUUCCCAGUGCAGUGCCCAGCUGGAGGAAGCACAUUAGAUUGAGCAAUAAUGAGUGGGCUGAAGGGGAAGAAUGGCUUCCCACCCAAUUUACUAACAUGUGCUUACAAAGGCUUUGGACCAACUUUUUACCUGGUCUUCUUAUUCAUAAAAUGAAAUUAAUGCUUAUUUAACAUACUGAAAUGAAGCAUUAAGAAAAAUUUUGAAGUAGUUAACCGAACAGUACAUUUUGAUAUGACCUUGCUUCUGGACUGUAGGCGAAGACUACCAUGAAUGAAAGGUACUGUGGCAUGCCCUCCACACCUGGCAUUGCAUCCUAGAAGGUAAGAAUGAUUAAGAGCCCCCUCCUAUACAUGAGAACACAGAGGCUGAGAGACAUUACAUGACUUGUCUAAGAUCUACAGCUCAUAAACAGAAGUUGACUUCGGGACUAUCAGACACCAAAGUCCAUGCUGAUAAGCUGUGCACAGAGGAGGAAGCUUUUAGACAAAGAAAAAAUAAAAUAACAUGUUAUGGUUGAUUAGUGCUCUGAGUUGUAUUACCCAAAAUGUACUGAUAGUCCAGAAGUAUAAAUAAGAAGAGGGGCUGGGUAAACUGAAAGGGUGCAUGAUGUUCUGAGGCUUGGAAAUGGGACAGCCAAAAGCCAAGCACAGGAAUUUUCUGUCUUCCGUGUCGGGGAUUAUUGUGGAAUCUACUCUGUCAUUUAGGAUGAUAUUGUUUCACAGACUUCACACUGAUAGAACGAUUUUUAAAUCACUAUGUGCAUUUUAAACAUUACUUAGAGUUGCUACAUUCAUUCAUUUUAAGAUAAUUUUACUUAUGUAAUAUUACUUUCAGGUACAUAUUUCAGUGAAUAAAUUAGGCCUAUAAAAUUAUCUUAAUUCAGUGUACAUAUCCCCAUCAAACUUGGAUGGCAGGUAAUUACAUUUCAGUCACUAUAAGAACCACUUACUCUUACCAGAAUUAUGACUAAUUUGUGGAGGCUUGAGUGUGUCCUGUAAUUUUAAAACAAUUUCUAAAUUAGUCUAUUAUUACUACCACUGACCUUCUUCAUUUCGAAAUUGUAAUGUUAUUUUAGUAUAAUUUACAUUAAAGAAAAUGUACCCCUUU